AAUAGUAUGAUAUGUGUUCCAAGUGUCCGUUUCUGCUGCCAUCUCGUGGCCAUUUUGGGGAAUGACACCUCAGUACAGGUCAGCAGUAAGAGUGGUUGAUUCCAGUGGAAUAUUAAUGACUUUUGAUGGCAGGGGUUUUUACAAGUGCAUUUGAAAACAUCU